rnacentral:rRNA from 1 species
AUUGAACGCUGGCGGCAUGCUUUACACAUGCAAGUCGAACGGCAGCGCGGGCUUCGGCCUGGCGGCGAGUGGCGAACGGGAGAGUAAUGCAUCGGCACGUGCCCAGUAGUGGGGGAUAGACCGGCGAAAGCCGGAUUAAUACCGCAUACGACCUGAGGGUGCAAGCGGGGGACCGAAAGGCCUCGCGCUAUUGGAGCGGCCGAUGUCGGAUUAGCCAGUUGCUGGAGUAAAGGCUUACCAAGUCGACGAUCCGUAGCUGGUCUGAGAGGACGACCAGCCACACUAGGACUGAGACACGGCCCAGACUCCUACGGGAGGCAGCAGUGGGGAAUUUUGGACAAUAGGGGCAACCCUGAUCCAGCCAUGCCGCGUGCGGGAAGAAGGCCUUCUGGUUGUAAACCGCUUUUGUUCGGGAAGAAAUCCUCUGGGCUAAUACCCCGGGGGGAUGACGGUACCGGAAGAAUAAGCACCGGCUAGCUACGUG